GCCCUUCACUCUGGGACAAGCCUUGGAAACGAGGUCUAAUACCGGAUAACACUUCCGUCCUCCUGGACGGGGGUUAAAAGCUCCGGCGGUGAAGGAUGAGCCCGCGGCCUAUCAGCUUGUUGGUGAGGUAAUGGCUCACCAAGGCGACGACGGGUAGCCGGCCUGAGAGGGCGACCGGCCACACUGGGACUGAGACACGGCCCAGACUCCUACGGGAGGCAGCAGUGGGGAAUAUUGCACAAUGGGCGAAAGCCUGAUGCAGCGACGCCGCGUGAGGGAUGACGGCCUUCGGGUUGUAAACCUCUUUCAGCAGGGAAGAAGCGAAAGUGACGGUACCUGCAGAAGAAGCGCCGGCUAACUACGUGCCAGC
rnacentral:rRNA from 1 species